rnacentral:rRNA from 1 species
UACGUAGGGUGCAAGCGUUGUCCGGAAUUAUUGGGCGUAAAAGAGCUCGUAGGCGUCAGUCGCGUCUGCUGUGAAAACUCGGGGCUUAACUCCGGGCCUGCAGUGGGGUACGGGCUGACUAGAGUGCGGGUAGGGGGAGACUGGAAUUCCUGGUGUAGGCGGUGAAAAUGCGUAGAUAUUGCUCGGAAGGCCAACGGCGAAAGGCAGGUUACUGGGUACGCAACUGACACUGAGGCACGAAAGCGUGGGGAGCAAACGGG